CCUACGGGAGGCAGCAGUGGGGAAUUUUGGACAAUGGGCGCAAGCCUGAUCCAGCAAUGCCGCGUGAGUGAAGAAGGCCUUCGGGUUGUAAAGCUCUUUUGUCAGGGAAGAAACGGUGGGGGCUAAUAUCUCCUACUAAUGACGGUACCUGAAGAAUAAGCACCGGCUAACUACGUGCCAGCAGCCGCGGUAAUACGUAGGGUGCAAGCGUUAAUCGGAAUUACUGGGCGUAAAGCGUGCGCAGGCGGUUUUGUAAGUCUGUCGUGAAAGCCCCGGGCUCAACCUGGGAAUUGCGAUGGAGACUGCAAGGCUUGAAUCUGGCAGAGGGGGGUAGAAUUCCACGUGUAGCAGUGAAAUGCGUAGAGAUGUGGAGGAACACCGAUGGCGAAGGCAGCCCCCUGGGUCAAGAUUGACGCUCAUGCACGAAAGCGUGGGGAGCAAACAGGAUUAGAUACCCUGGUAGUCCACGCCCUAAACGAUGUCUACUAGUUGUCGGGUUUUAAUUAACUUGGUAACGCAGCUAACGCGUGAAGUAGACCGCCUGGGGAGUACGGUCGCAAGAUUAAAACNCAAAGGAAUUGACGG
rnacentral:rRNA from 1 species